CUGAGGUGGGUGACAUCCGGCUACCUUGUCCCUCUGAAGGGAGGUUAUGGAAAGCUCCGCUUCCAGCUCCCGUGCCGGACUCACUGCCACUCCCAGAGGAGAACACCGAACCUGGAGUGACAAACUACAAGUUUGUCUGGAUCGGUCCCUAUCCUGCCCCACUGCAUCCUUCCUUUCCUGAUGACCGUCACAGUCCCCUUCCCAGUUCUUCCCAGUUCUUCCCAGUCCCUGGGCUGCUGCGAUGCUGAAUGGGCUGAGUAUGCUGAUUUAGCUCAGACCACCAGGAGCCAACGACAUUGGACUUCUGGUUAUUUCUGCCCCAGAACACUGUUUUUCUUAGAUAUUAUGUACUAAUCAUGUUCCUUGUGUUUCUGCACUCUGGUUAGGUCUUUAAUAUAUUUGCUCUUGGUUAACCUUGUCUCUGCCUUGUUUGUAUAUAUGAUAUAUGUCUUGUGUUCUUCGGGUCUCUUAGUCACUAGUUAUUAGAUAAUUGUUUAUGACCCACAACUGCCCCUCCUCUAGGUCUCAUUUAUUGUGUAUAUAUGUCCUUCUCUAUUCUCUGUUUCUGUGUCAGCUAUUGAAUGUGUUUGAGGGUAGAUGUUACCAGUUGGAAAGCCUGUUUUGAUAUGUAUUUAGCGGUUUCUUAUGUUUGGCCUUCUGUUAAUCCCAAAAUUCAUCUGCCUUUGUUUAGACCUAUUGUGGUCUCUUUUGUUGCUGAGUGUUUUGUGUUUAGUUUUAGAUAAAGUUUCAAAGCUGCAUUGCGGACCAUUAAUCAUGCCUGCAGGUGACAAACUCAGAAACACUUUUUAAAGUUUCAUAUUUCUGAUAUAAGAAAAAAGUUUUGUAGAACACAGCAUUCCAAGUACUGGUACAAUUAAGCUUUCAAAAUCUCCCUGUUGGGAAAUGCAAUUUUUUUCAUAGGAUGAAUUAAGUUUGCUUGAUUUGUUUCCUAAUUUGUCAAACAUACCAAUCUCUUCUAUUUUUAAUAUGUUAAAGGUACAGCUUUCAUAUCAAGACUAACCAUACCACUGAGUACAAGGAAUUUAAGAGCAUUUCUAUUUAUGUGUUAAAUGCUCCAGAUAGGAAUCAUCAGAGAGUUAUUUAGUAAAAACAUCACUUGCAUGCCUUCAAUGAUUCAGAAAAGCAAUAAUUGAACUAGAUGCAAAACCACUUACUGUAGCGUUUUAAUGGAAAGAGAUUCAUAUACCAUAUUUCCUGAAGUAGGGGCCUUUAUUUACUUUUAGUAGGGGCCUGUCUGGGGCCAUUAUUUACUUAAGGCACAUAAGCAACAGGCCUUUAUUUGAUGCAGACAGACUUAUAUUAGAGGCAGGCCUUUAUUUCUAUUUCUCUGUUACUGCAUUACGCUGUUAAUAUAAAUUUUAUAUACGAAUGAAUCAAAGGCUAUCAUGUGUUAUUGGAAAUAUUCUCUUAUACUGUACAUUGGUUGAUUACAGUAUUGCAAGGGUACAGACAUUUUAAGAGCUAGCUAACAGUACCAGUAAUUGCCUUGUAACUUUUCAUUAGUUGCCAUGUAAAUCAUACAUACGAUCAGUUUAACUUGUGUGUAGUAUGACCAGUCACGUACCAGAGUUUAUCAUAAAUACACUCAGCUGUCACACCAUAAAAAAUUAUACAUUUUUCUUUAUAGACCCCUAAAUGUUCAUAUAAAUGUCAAUGUUUCUCUUGUAUUUGGUUUGUUUUUAUUUUAGCCUGCAUCUGGGCUAAACUCAUUUGCUACUGUCUAGAAUCUUUGGGUACCACUGGUUUGACUCAGGGAGUCUCAAAUUCGGCACAUAACCUGCAUUAGUUACGGCACCACAGCCACGCCGCGUGACCCCUGAGAUGAUCCGGCUGGUUGUUGAGGACCCGAGUAGCUGGACCAGGCCAAGGGGACGUCCACAUAACACCUGGCUGUGUCAGAUAGGUGGACAACUCCAUAGGGUGGGACUAGGCCAUGAAUCAGCCAGCGAGGUUGCCAACCCAGAUCCAGAGGUGUUUUGUUGGAGGCUGGGUGCAGCAAAGCACUGUACCAGUGCUUGAUCCCCAACCUGUCACCAUUCAGUGCACCAGCUAGUCCUGGUUUUACUUCCAUGACACACCAACUGUCUUCUGGCCUUACCUUUGUGUGGCCACUGCAAAGAUUGGCCUUGAGCAUAGUCCACUCAGACUCACUCAGCACACAAAGUGAGAUGAAUUAAUUCUCACCUAGAAACUUCAGCCAGAUGUUCCCAGCAAACUCUGCCACCCCAUCUGUGUCUUCUUGGUCCAUCUGGCCUGCCCCUGCUACUAGAAAUCCAUCUCACCACCAAGCGAUGGGCACUUUAUAGCUCUGCCCUCUCUUCACCAUUUCUUCAAUUGUUCCUCUGAAGUAGUGCUAAUGGUGACACGAGACUCUCAUACUAUGCAGGGCUACGGUCCCUGAGAUUUGUGUAUUAUACUGUGGUGAAUAAUUCUUAUAGCAUUACAAAUCCAUGUAAAAUGAUGUAUUCCUUAAAAAGCUGAAGUGCAUCAUGGAAUGAUCUAAAUAACAGAUUCAAUCCUCAUGGUGUUCUGUCAAUAGUGGAUGCAUGGAUUAUAAAUUUGUCAGAAAGAUAAUGAUGUUAGGCUGUAAAAUGAAUUGCUGCCUUGUUUUGUGACUGACGCAUAAUGGGCCCAGACCGGAAAAAUCAAUUCAUCAACUUGAACUGUUCAUUUCUGAAAGAGUGAGGACAAUCACCUUGUUAGAAUAUUUCAUAUAAAUGAUUUGAAAUAUUUCUAACUUAAAAAGGUUAAGGAGAAAGUUAAUGUAAAUAUGCUGUUGAAACAGGUUAACCUGUAUGGUUGUGUUUUGUUGUUUAUAACCAGAACAAAAACUAUCAUCAGUUUCCUAAUUCAGCCAUUUGAAUAAAAUAAUUAGGUCUAACAUCUAAGACUGAUUUUAUAUUAAAGGAAAUAUGCUUAAAGGAUCAUUAAAGUGAAUGGCAUAAUACUAAGCAUAUACUACACUGAGUUGGAAUCACUGUUUCUUCUCAUAAAUUAUAAGCAACAAUAAACCCUAGAGAUUUAACAAUAUUUAAAAAAUAAAAAAUGAAAUGGAAAAAAUUAAUAAAAUUUGCAAAGUAUCACUGGGAGACAUCUGCAAGCACUGAACAGCAAAAAGUAGGACAUUAUUGAAAUACUUCUUGUUCCUGAUACUCAAUUAGGUCAGUAAGGAUGGUAAGAUUUAAAGCAUGGCCCAGAUGCUUAGAUCCAUGGUUAAGCUGUCCUUGGGGGCUGCUUCUGCUUGUCUUGUUUAUGCAAUAAAUAUGAAAGUAAAAAUAAA